GCCUGGGUGGCUCAGUCGGUUAGGCAUCCGACUUUGGCUCGGGUCAUGAUCUCACGGUUUGUGGGUUCGAGCCCCGCAUCGGGCU
rnacentral:tRNA from 1 species